UUGCCAAUUGGACUUUUGACCCAUUAGGGUGAUGCAAAUAAAGGUGGUUUAAUGCAUGUUUAUGCUACCCCAUAUUUGGUAUUUGAUUUUGGAUUUGAAACACUACAAAUUUUAUUACUUAUAAAGCCCUAAAGGCAAGUUUAUAGGCAAAAGUAUUUUUAUAUAUUUUAUUUUGAGUGAAUUUUUGUCUCAAAAGUUGAAUCAAAUGAAAAUAUGAUUUUACAAAUUUUGUUGCAUUUUAUUUGACUCAAUUUGGAGCUUUGAAUCAAAAGUUUAGUUCAAAACCAGAAAAAGAAAAAGGAAAAAGAGAAAAAAAGGGAAGCGGACCGCCGUUGCUGGGCACCCCACUUACCGAACCACACGCGCCACCCACUCCGCGCGCGCCCGAGCCGCAGCCGCUGCCAGGCGGGCCCCACCUGUCAGCAUCGUCUUCGUCCUCAACUGCCGCCCGAUUUCUCUGCGUAGACGCCGUCCGCCACGCCCACGCACUCCACCCCGCGUCCGCCUCGCCCACGACCCCCAUCUUCUCAACCGGCCGCGUCACU
rnacentral:lncRNA from 1 species